CAAGUUAGCACCAUGUAUAAGCUACCUGAGAGGUACUGGAACUUUGUCUUCAGACUGCUGCAGUGGAGUUAAGGCCCUUAAUUCAGAGGCUAAGACCACUCCUGAUCGCCAAGAUGCUUGCAAGUGNNNNNNNNNNCUGCUGCUAACGUUCCUGGUCUUAACUAUAGUUUGGCUUCUGGGCUUGCUGGCAAAUGUGGUGUUAGCCUUCCCUUCACUAUCAGCCCCAACAUCGACUG
rnacentral:misc_RNA from 1 species